CACGUAGGGUGCGAGCGUUGUCCGGAAUUAUUGGGCGUAAAGGGCUCGUAGGCGGUUUGUCGCGUCGGGAGUGAAAUCCACUGGCUUAACUGGUGGCUUGCUUUCGAUACGGGCAGACUGGAGGUAUGCAGGGGAGAACGGAAUUCCUGGUGUAGCGGUGAAAUGCGCAGAUAUCAGGAGGAACACCGGUGGCGAAGGCGGUUCUCUGGGCAUGUCCUGACGCUGAGGAGCGAAAGCCAGGGGAGCAAACGGG
rnacentral:rRNA from 1 species